rnacentral:lncRNA from 1 species
GAAGAAAGAUCACUCAAAUAAGUCUUCCACCGUUCCUUUAGUAUGACCAUUUUGAAGCGCUUUAUGUGGCACGGCCGGUGUACCUCCAAAGAUGGGUUAUCAGGGUUUGAAAGUUUAGAUUUACCUAUUUUUUUCAAUAAGAAAAGCGCUUCCCCAGAUCCCACAAAAGAUCGUUGACAAGCCUGAUCCCUAAUCGUGGAAUUGUGACUUUCGCUCCAUUUCUGCCUCAGGCAGGAUCAAAACUCUCCAUUUUUGGAGUUAGAUUUAAGCCCUUCUAAGUGAUCUCUUUCGGCAAGGAGAAUUUCUACCUUGUGGUCUUCAUUCCCGAUUCUCUUCACCACCCAUCGCCCAUGUUUAACACGUGUUACAGGCUGCUAAAAUGUCAUUAUCGAACUUGAGUUGGAGCUUCUUAC